rnacentral:rRNA from 1 species
GACAGAGGGUGCAAACGUUGCUCGGAAUCACUGGGCGUAAAGGGCGCGUAGGCGGGAUGGCAAGUCAGUCGUGAAAUCUCUCGGCUCAACCGAGAAACGUCGGCUGAUACUGCCGUUCUUGAGGGAUGCAGAGGAGACUGGAAUUCCCGGUGUAGCGGUGAAAUGCGCAGACAUCAGGAGGAACACCGGUGGCGAAGGCGGGUCUCUGGGCCGAUACUGACGCUGGAGGAGCGAAAGCGUGGGGAGCGAACAGG